rnacentral:lncRNA from 1 species
CAGUUCACAGAGCAGAGAGGUUCCUUUCGUUCCCAAACUUUGAGAAAGGGGUUUCACCUGUUCUCUGGGCUUCUUGCAUUAGAUGAUUGAUCCAGAAAAACAAAGACUCAUUGGAUUGCUCUCCCAUGUUGGCCCUAUGAAGAGAGGGGGCCGGCUAAGCAGUGUUUGGAUCAGGGCCUCCCGGAUGGGGCCAGAGAGUCAGCUGCUGGGGCCCAUCCACAGUGCAGAAACCAGUCAAGAAGACAAAGACAGUUGUUUCCAGUCCCUGAUGGGUGAUGCCUCAAACAAAGUCAGCAAAAACAGCUGGAGAGCCUUAGUGACCAAAAGCCAAUUGAGUCCCCUUUCCUCACACUUCACCAGAGCUCUCAGGGAGUAAAAGAAAACUGAGUCCAAUUCAUUUUCAAGUUACCUUGUAUCCACCCUUCACCCUGCCCAGGCCUCCAUCAUCUCCAGCUGGGCCUGUGGCAG